CAACUCUAUAACCCAACGAUUCUAUCUUGUCUACAAACCCCGUUCUGUCACGAAAAAUCACGCGAUAAAACAAACCGGAAAUGACGCGAAACUACACGCGCGCCGGUAAAAACCCACAGAAGAAGAAACAAGACGCGCAAAACUUUUGUUUGUAUAUAUAGACUUCAGACAGAAAUUAGUGCUGCAAACCGUUUGCGCGAUGCAAAGCCGCAAAAGAAAAAAAUUAUAGAGAUGUGAUGUGGAGAGGUGGAUCAGAACCACACGCGGACAGCAGGGAUUAAAGAUUUGAGAAUAGGACAGGCUUCGCAAAACAUGAUUUGGAGAGCGUUUGUCUUUGACCCUGCGAUUCUAUGCAACAGGUGACACGUUCAAGUUCAUCAGGUUCAAGUCCAGGAUGGGAGACCAGCACCAUCUCACAAAUAGUUUUGGAUGUUCUGCUCUGUACCAGGUUAUAAAGGACGAUUUCUUGAAGACACCAUCAACGGAAGGAGAGUGGCAUACAAUAGCCAUGGACUUCGAAAGGAAGUGGCAGUUUCCACAUUGCUUUGGGGUACUUGCUACCACUCCAGCUGUAGCAGACUGCUGACCACAACAUGGUUGAUGGGCAGUGGAAGAUUCACGGGAUGUGUGCUUUUCAACCGAUGAAAUACACCUCACAUCACAAUUGUAUGGCAAUAGCAAAAGUGCAACGCAAUCUGAUGCGGGACUACUUUGCCUCACCAGUGGGUAGUGAUUAUUGGCAAGUUCAUCACAUUUUAAAAGGAACUGAUGUAGGGGUGGUUUCCCGGACAGGGAUUAGCUUAAACCAGGACUAGACCUUAGUUUAAUUAGGAAAUAUAACUAGUUUUAACAAACAUGCCUUACUAAAAACAUUACUUGUGUGCAUUUUGAAGCAAAACAAAGGGCACUGAUGUAUUUUAAGAUAUAUCAGUUCAAGUUGUUUUUAGUUUGGACAGCUUUUACAUUUAUUUUAGUCCAGGACUAGUCUAAUCCCUGUCCGGGAAACCGCCCCGUAGAGUUAUCCCUGCAAACAGCAGAUUAAAGCCAGUUAUUGUCAGUUUAGGACAUUCGUUUUCUUGUGUGUUCUAAAGUCCUGUAUUUGUAAAGAACACACAUGUGGUUCACUUAUUCAUUGUUUUAAGUAUUCUGUUUAUUGUUGUGUUAUUAUUGAAUAAAUUUUAAUUGCAUACAAAUCAAAAGGUGCAGGAAUGUAAUAAAGGCAAUCUGCAUGUUGCAAUUAAGUGCCUUAUACUAACUUUAUUUCUUGAUCCACACUCAUUAUUCACAGAACAUUAACAAUGUUUCUAUACUAGGGCGAUUAAACAUCAACAUAUCUGAUCAUGAUAAAAUUUAUGGCGAUUGUGAUGAUAAGCUCUGGGCAUUUUUACUCAAUGUGGAUUAAUCUAACAGCCAAUCACACACAAUUAUAUUAUGAUAUUUAUAUAUCACCCAGCCCUUAAAGGAGCUCUACACAGGGAGUUUUGUAAUGUUUAAUUGUGUUAAUGUGGCGCACUGCAUGUGUUCUAACAAUGUAUAUUUUGUCUGUUCACAUAAUAUACAUUCUAAUGUACUACAUUGCACUAAAGCACUAUUCAUAUUGCCUGUUUUUGUAAAAUAUGACUCAAUGUGUUUAAUACUUUUAUACUUUGUUGCAUUAAAUGUAUUACUUUCGAUA